UACGUAGGGUGCAAGCGUUAAUCGGAAUUACUGGGCGUAAAGCGUGCGCAGGCGGUUAUGCAAGACAGAUGUGAAAUCCCCGGGCUCAACCUGGGAACUGCAUUUGUGACUGCAUGGCUAGAGUUUGGCAGAGGGGGGUAGAAUUCCACGUGUAGCAGUGAAAUGCGUAGAUAUGUGGAGGAACACCGAUGGCGAAGGCAGCCCCCUGGGUCAAGACUGACGCUCAUGCACGAAAGCGUGGGGAGCAAACAGG
rnacentral:rRNA from 1 species